rnacentral:rRNA from 1 species
ACGGGUAACGGAGAAUUAGGGUUUGAUUCCGGAGAGGGAGCCUGAGAGAUGGCUACCACUACCAAGGUGGGCAGCAGGCGCGCAAAUUGCCCAAUGCAAAAACAGUCUGCGAGGCAGCAACGAACUGCAGCAAUCCUGCUGGUAUCUUCACCAGCAGGACUUGGAAUGGAUGCAAUCCAAACACAGUGAUGAGUAUCAACUGGAGGGCAAGUCUGGUGCCAGCAGCUGCGGUAAUUCCAGCUCCAAGGGCGUAUACUAACAUUGCUGCUGUUAAAACACCUGUAGUCUGCCACAGGGUUGCAGGUCUGCUGGGUGGCCUGGGGCAUGGUUUGUGUGUGGCUUGGGUCUCCGGACUUGAGCUGCCUCAGCUGUGACCUGGGAUCAAACCCCCAGUGGUAUGAUCCUGCACCCGAUCUAUUGAUGGUGAGAUUGCUCUUGCUGAAAGUCUCCUUCAGUGGAGACCAAAGUGGUCAUGCUGCUAAUGCCAGAGUGAGGCAUCAGGGUGGGUCUGGACAUCUGGAACAAGGACCACCUGCCUCAUCACCAGAGCCCACCAUCAUCGAAACCGUGGAAAACUCAGUGUGCUCAAAGCGUCCUGCCUAUGGCUGAAUGCCUGUCCAUGGAAUUUCAAAGCAUCGACCGAGUGAGGCAUUGGAGUUGUGCUGGUCUUGGAGCCC